rnacentral:misc_RNA from 1 species
GAUGAAGAACGUAGCGAAAUGCGAUACUUGGUGUGAAUUGCAGAAUCCCGUGAACCAUCGAGUCUUUGAACGCAAGUUGCGCCCGAAGCCAUUAGGCCGAGGGCACGCCUGCCUGGGCGUCACACGUCGUUGCCCCCCCAUCUACUCCUUCGGGAUUGUGGGGGGCGGAUGAUGGCCUCCCGUGCGCCUCGUCGCGCGGUUGGCAUAAAUACCAAGUCCUCGGCGACGCACGCCACGACAAUCGGUGGUUGCGAAACCUCGGUUGCCCGUCGUGUGCGGUCGUCGCGCAUCGAGGGCUCGAAAAAAUUGCCGGGCUCCGGCUCGGCUUUCAACGCGACCCCAGGUCAGGCGGGGUUACCCGCUGAAUUUAAGCAUAUCAAUAAGCGGAGGA